UGCAGGCAACUCAGUUGCUUGACAUGGCAACUCCGUCACCAUCCAUCUUGGGCCGGUGAGAGGAGGAGAGAAACUCACCCCGGGAGCUUCGUGAGUGUUAUGACCAUGGCAGAUUGCUUUAAAAUCCUGAUUGACGACCUUCUUGGGUUUGGACACGGUCUGCUCGGGCCAGGAGUCCAGAGUAAAGCUCAGUAGGCAUCGCGCCCAUAGGGCAUAAAAUUAUGUGGGUUGAGCUAAAUGUUCGAUUUAGCUGGGAAUAUUCGACGGAAGAUAAAAAACGAGGAAUAUUAUACAUUUUCGGUAUUUUUUAGAGUGAGAGCGUAUAUUUUAUUGGGACUUGCUCUCUUUUUUUGGGACUUACUCUCUAUUUUGUGGUGGGAAAUUUUCUCAAAUUGAGGGAAUUUUUCGGGGAUACAAUGUCCUUUUCAGCUCAACAAUGUCCCUUGCAUUCCAUCCCCACUUACGUUUUCAUACGUUUUAUGUUGCUGGCAACAUUAAUUUGUAAGGGCCAGACUCAUGUGCCGUGAAAUCGAGCAGCAUUGUUCCACAACAUUGCGCGGAUUGAGCAACAUUUUGCAUACCCUGGGAAAUGGAUGUUCAAGAACCGAAAAAAUGUUUGUCAUCUAAUGCACCAAUAAAGGCCAAAACUAGUCAGUUUCUGUUUUAAAGGUA